rnacentral:lncRNA from 1 species
AACUUUCAGAAAAACAAUGCUUAUUGAAUUUCUUAAGUUCAUGUUUCUAAUACUUAGUGCUUUGAUAAUCUUUUAUCAAGGCUUCUUGAACUUAUACACCUUUGCCUUAGAUAGUUCAUAUGUGUGUGUAAACAAUUGCCAAACCUUACAAUUCAAAUUAUGGAAAGGGAUACCGUAACCAUAAUCGAAUUCGAGAAUGCAAUUUUACAAUCACUAUCUUCUUAAAAUCUUUCUUAGUGAAAGCAUUUCCUCACAAUCAUUUUCAUGAAGGAGGAAAUCUUAUGAAACUUAGAUUCAAACGGUGUAUGUGUUCCUAUCCAUGUGAAUUUGUCAAAACUAAAGUUUACGACAAAUUCAAACUCAUAUGGACCGAACUUUCUUAAUCUUGAUUUCUUGCCUUAUGGUAGCACAGCUGCCCACCAUGUCUUCCAAGUAGUUAAGCAGCUCACCCUUUCCUAUCAAUGUACCUUUCAUUGAUUAAGGUGCUUUGCCUUUUAUGCGUUCAAAAUGAGAACUCAUAGAACUCACAUGCAUAAUUAACUCGAUUGGAUUGGCACAGAAACAAAAUAAUGUCAACACGAUAGGUUGUAAACCUCAACUCGUGUGCUAGUGAUGAUCGAUAAGGUUUAUUUGAUUUGUUCUUGAAACCUUUCAAGACCAUUAAGACUCCCACUGACUCCUUGACAUAUAAGAUUCUCUUGUCAAAACAUUUCUUGACAAACAAAUAUUUAAGAGUUAGUGUAGCUUUUAUCAAAACACUUCAUAAAUUGAUCCUAGUUGGUCUUUGUCUUAUCCAAGACAUCACAACUUUCCACAUUUGAUGAAUGUUAUAAACCUUUCUUAAUACUUUUCACUCAAUGUCACAAUCUUAAUUGUAAGACUUGUUUUGGAACGAAGUAUGUUUGACUUAUUGAUUUAACCAUUUCUUCAAUCCUUGAUUCCUCUUCCUAAACAUACAAUUGUACUAAGACUCACUUAGAAGAUCAAUUGAGAUAUGGUUCUUAAUCAUUAAGAACUAUCAUAAAGCAUAAGUGGUACUCUCCCUUCUUCUUAGAAUGAAGAAAUUUUUUUAUCUUUCUGCAUACUUGAUUCUUCUUAUUCGUUCUGCUAUUGAUUUAAACCUUUCAAUCAAUUCAAAAUUACACUUAAUCUUAUAAGUAUGAUCAUAUUUACUAAACUUUUAGUAAAUCAUGACGAAUAUUUUGUUACUCUUAUGGUGGACUUUUACGCAACUUUGUGUAUUCGAUCCCCAAGUCCUUCACUUGACACUUUGUCAAUGAAUUAGUCCAAAUAUGAAACUUUUCAUUCAUCGUGCAACCAAGUUGCAUGAUUCCAAGUUUCUGUCCAAUUGAAACUUGGGCGAUGAGAAAACUCUCCCUAUUUGGUAAACUCUCGACUUUCCAUAAAUAACAUAAUUAAGAAUCAACUCCAUUUUGCUAACAAUAGAAACAUUUUAACAUCAAUUUUCAUACACGCCAUUGCAAGGAUAAAUAAAUAAAAUUUAAAAUCAAAAUUUAUUUUAUUGCGGAAAAAUUUGUCCUUACAAUGCAAUUCAUUGAAAACUUAUGCUAAUACAUCUUUCUUAGCAAUCUGGCUCUAACUCUAAGUAGUAGCUUAAGAAUCUAAUCAUCGAGAAAUGCGAUCAAAAUCCAUUCCUUCAUGGAUAUAUUCUGCUCACUUCUUCUUUUAAGCUCCCUUUCUUUUCUUCGAUCCUAGAUAACACCAAUUGUAAUCUUAUCACAUUAUGUAUUAAGAAUCUAGGAUAGAAGCUUAAAAGUGUUAGUCAAUGGAUUUUACCUAUAUCAGAGCCAUACGUUUCGACUCUCCCAUCUCUUAGAUCUCUUAGGUAAAUGGGGCAGCUUCGUCUCCAAUGCCCUUUUCUCUUGGCAAUAAAAGCAAAUUGACUCUUUUGGAACAUGAUAUGGAACUACUUCAAACAUUGCCUUUCUCUUAUGAUCAAACUUUUCGAUCAUAACAUGUCUUUCAUUGCCAUUGUCUAUAUCCAUAGAGAUCUUAAAGGCAGAUUCACCAAUCAACUUUGCUUUUCUAUUGCGCCAAACCAUUGCUGAUUCAGCAGCAACAAGCAUAUAAGUGAGAUCUAUAAGGUUCACGUUGUAGUUCAUCAUAUAGUACUCUCUUACGAACUCACUAUAUGAGUUAGGAAGUGACUGAAGAACCCAAUCAACAGCCAUUUCCUCACAGACAACGGAUCCCAACAUUCUUAACCUAUCAAUGUGUGACUUCAUCCCUAGGACGUGUGCACACACCGACUUUCCUUCUUUAUGUUUACUUGCCAAAAGGGCUUGAGUGAUCUUGAACUUUUCAAGCCUUUGAACUUGUGGGUUAGGGAGAAUAAUUGGAGGAGGAGGAGGAAGUGAAGCAUGAUUUCUUGUUCCUCGAUCGAAUCGUGGAAUAUCAUCUUCAUGUGGAAUGCUUGUUCCACGGGAUUUGGGAAGACCAUAGUUGUCGAACUUUGACAUCUACAAAACGGGAGAAAACGAAUUCAAGUUAGUUGAUUGAUUGAGUCCUUAGUAAAUCACCCAAAUGAGAUACUAAGGCUAGGACCCAACACAAUAUUCUACAACUCGGGAGAGGGAUGCCGUAACCCUAAUUGCAGAAUAUUUGAAGGUAAGUGAAUGACGAUUCACUAAUUUCCACCAUGAAAAACGAAAAAGAAAUUUAAGUUUUAAAUCUAUGAAAACUCCUAGAUCCUUUGAGAUUCAUUGAACUUUCAAUGGCAUGUUUAAAUCUCGAUAUGCCCCUCUUGUUUGUGACUGGGAUGCCGAGGAUCACAAAGCGGGUGUGAAUAACCAUGCAAACUUACAUGGUGCCCUCACAUGUUACAGUCACCUAUUCGAUGUGCCGGUAAACCACACACGCUCCACCGAACUAUGACAAACAUUGAGUCACCCUUUGCUACCUUUGCUUAGAACCAUUUAGUGUGCCGGUAAACCACACACGCUCCACUAACGUCUUCGCAAGGGCACAAAGUGUAAUUUCAUGGAAUUGCAUCAAUUCACUUUUGCCUAAGUAACUAAGAUUGGGAAUUUUAUGAAAACAUUUAGUUACUUUAAUAAUUCAUUAUACUUAUAAUGGAAGGUUUCGUCCUAUCCUACCCGUUCGGCUAACGACCCUCCACUAGUCAAGAGUGCGGUGGGUAAGAGUGGAUACCCAUUCAAUCGCCAUUUUAUAGGCAAUUUCCUUAAACACCCCUUAUAGACCAGCUUCGUGAAUGAGGCCUACUAACGGUAAGACUGACUUUUACUCAUACAUAUAUAUAAUGUUAGACUUUUAAUGUUAUAUAUAGUAUAGGGUGUAUUUUACACUUUUAAAAUAUUAGGUGGUCUAAUUUAACAAUUAUACUUUUAAUUCAAUUAAAUUGUAAACCUAAACUUUUAUGGAUUUAUUAAACCUCUUUUAAUUAUACACCUUAAUUAAUUAAUAAAACCAUAAGGGUGUGAUUUGAACUUUUUCAAAACUAUACUAGAGUUUUAGAAUUUAACAUUCCUAAUUAAACUUUUAAUCAACUUUUAAAUUCCAAAACUUGAGGGCAAGUUUUGAAACAUUUCAACACAUUAGGGUUUAGAAUUUAAAUAUACAUCAAAAUUAAACCAUUUAAUCAAAAUUUAAAUUCCAAAACUUGAGGGCAAGUUUUGAAACCUUUUUCAAAACAUUAGGGUUUUAACUAUUUAAAUUUCAAAACAACAAAACUUUUGGGUUCAAAUUUAAACUAUAAAACCUAAAGGGGAAAAUAUGAAACUUUUCAUAACAACAAGGAUCAAAUAACAAAUAAUCUAAAUUAACAUUUAAUCACAUAAUUAUCCAUAUUUGAUUUAUUUAAUGAUUUCUUGCAAAACAAUUUAUCAAUUUAGUCAAAAUAAUUAAUCAAUUAUCACAUAAGGAAACAAUUAUCUUAUUAAUUGAUAAAUAUCUUCAAUUAGAUCAAGAAUAUAGUCAAAUAUAUCAUAAAAUCGGAUUUAUAUUGAUCUAAUAUGAUAAGGUAACUAUCCCAAAGCAAAAACAGCAAGAAAUCCCGAGAUAUGCUCCAUCUGACGAGUUGACUCGUCGAGUCAAGCUUGGACUCGUCGAGUCUGCAUGGACUCGGCGAGUCCAGCCUCCAGAAACCAAAAAAUCGAAUUUUUCAAACAUAUCAAGCAUCAAUACAAUAGAAACCAAUCUAGGCUCUGAUACCACUGAUGGGUUUUGGUCAUAAGACAUCCUAUGUGCUCAUACAAACCCUAAUGCUUGGAUCUAGGUUUCUCUAUUGUACAUGCUUUGAAUCCAAGACUAUAAACCCUAAUUCUAGCAUAUGGAAAUCAAUAUUAACAUAUAAUUAGGUUUAUGAUAUUACCUUGAUUGUUAUGUAGCAAUAACAAUCCCAAUUCCUCCUUGAAUUGACUUUGGAAGGCUUAGAGUCACAAGUGUCACUCCUCUAAUGGUUCACAAACACCAUAAGCAAGAGGAUGAAGAGGAGAGAGGAUGGAGGCUGCCCAAAACGUGUUCUAACCCUAGAAAAGAAGUUCCCCACGUUUUUGAGCCUUAAGGGUUCUAUAUAUAGUGAGGCUAUUAGGGUUAUCUAACAAGGAAACCCUAAUUUGGUUGCUUAAGCCCUAAGCAACCCAUGGAGCCCUUUCCUUAAGGCCUUGGACGAUUUCAUAUGGGCUUCCCCCAUAGAAUUCGUCCACCUUAUAAUAUAAGGCAAUCCAUGGCCCAAAUUGCAAUUAUCUUAUAAUUACAAUUCCAGUCCCUUAAGUUUAAUUAAUCUCUUUUAGUCACAAAACUAAUUACCAAUUAAUUCUUGACUAAUAUUAAUUAAACAAUAUGAUUUCUCCUUUAAUAUAUUAUUCUCAUAAUAUAUUAAUAAAUCAUAUUUAAUCCUUUCUCUCCAUAAUUCAUCCUAUCAAGUUGCUUUGGUGAAGGCAACCCAAAAGGACCAUGCACCAUCGGGUCAAGUACAUACCAAAAUAGUUAUGGACUUAGACACUAAUCCAACAGUCUCCCACUUGGAUAAGUCUAAUAACUAUUCUGCGUAUGACUUCAGAUCCUGAUCUGCAAUCGUAGCUUUCCAAAGCCGCUGUCAACUCUGAUCAUAUCAGAUACGCGUGUCCUUAGAUAAGGGAUCAUAUAUUCCUCCAUUCUAGAUAUCAUAUGAGAUAUGAUUUCAAAUCAUUCUCUUUGUACUAUAUCUCGAUUCCCGAUUUAUGACGACUGACUAAUUGAACAAAUCAAAUUAGCCCUAGCCCGGCCGAGCAUUUACGUUUGUCAUCACUAAAUCAUCGAGGGGCCCAAAGAUAUCGCUUUUAUCCUACUUUGGAUAAAAGGAACGGAUAAACUUUGAUACAAUGCUUGCUUGCACUCACUCACCGAAUCACACACAACAAUAUGUUUUAUAACACCAAGUUACUAGUGCGUUUACAUAUUAUCAAUGUGCAACCGAUUUGCAAGAUACAACUCACACAUCUCGGUUUCAAGAAUAUAAGAUGUUAUCGUCUCACCAAUCACUCGUGAUACAAUUCAUGGAGUGAUCCAAGUGAGCGUGGGUUUAAUCCAAUGCUCAAAUCAUAUUCAUAAGCACUCAUGAACGUUGCAGCAAACAUUUGCUUAUGUCUAAUACUCUUUUAGACAAUCCACACACCAAUUCACGACAGUCUUCAUUCAUAUCUACUUCCAACAUAUGAACGACUGUGGCCCGUUCGAAUAAUUCGAUUAUUCUUAAUAAAUUCAAUUAUUCUGGAAGUCAAAACAUGCAAAUGUGAAACACAAGAAUAAUACUAAUCCCAUAUGGCCUCAAACCUUUGAGUAUAAAUAAAACUCCUUUUAUUUAUCACCAUAUUGAUUACUCAUUAUUUGUCGUUUCGGGUAAUCAACUUCUUACUUGAAUUACAACACUUGUCCCAUGCUCCUAGCAUGCACACAAUGUUUACCUAUGGUUCUUACUUUGUGAAAUAGAUCACAUUGAACACAUUUCCAAUCCUUCUCAUUUCACAACUCCAAAUCCGUUUUUCAUAAGUUAAAGAAUAUCAAAUUCUUGUUACUUAUAGAAUAUGCUAGAUUCUAACAUUCUAUGCAAUGAUCCUUUCGUAAUGUCACUGCACCAAAGUCACAAAGACUAUUGCCAAUGAUAUUACAAAGUCCUCUAUCGGAGAUUGUUACAAGACAAUUCCUUAGAUAUGAUGUCUCUCACUCAAAGUACAUUCCUUUGAACAUCCUUUUGCAUAAAAGUUUCUAAUCUAGACAUAGAUUUUCAAUAUUCAAUUCCCAAUAUGGACACGUUUCCAUAUUUUCCAUAUGACAACUCAUUCUUAAUAGAAUCUUAUCUAUUCGUAAUGAUGUCGAUAUGGUCCAUCCAAUAUGGAAACAUUUCCAUAAUUUCCAUAUGACAACUCAUUCUUAAUAGAAUCUUUUCUAUUCAUAAUAAUGUCGAUAUGGUCCAUCCAAUACCAUGCUUCCAACUACUCACAAGCGACCAAUCCUCGUCGAACUUUGGAUUGUCCUUUGAUAGUUGUUUAAUUAUUUUAGUCAAAACCAAUUCUAGUCCCUUUUCCCUCUAAAUGCGCUCGACAUUUGGAAAAUUUUAGAAUGGUCAAACAUUAAAGCAUUUGCAAUCGAUCCUAUACCCGAAGCGUAUGGGACACGACGCAUAAUGUUUUAUUUGCUAUGUUCUCAAAAUUCGAAUUGUGAAGAGGAAUGCCGUAAUCAUAAUCGAAAUUUUAAGAACACACUAUGUACCUUUGACUAAAUUUAUUAACAUUUCUCAACCUAAGCCUUUAGAUUUGAAAUGAAGCAUAAUAUUCUCUCCCUUAAUUAUAGCAAAACAACUUUACAACCCUUACGACUUUGCAAGGUAUAACUCUUGUUUUCUAUAAUUAAUAUUGCCAACUUGCAAUACGUGCCUUAAUAAUCAUACAAUCAUAACAUUUAUGCUCCCACUAUCAUGAUGAUUAUUAUAAAACAUAACACUUAUGCUCCCACUAGCUUCGACAUGUAUUCAUAAACAUCUUAACUUUCAGAAAAACAAUACUUAUUGAAUUUCUUAAGUUCAUGUUUCUAAUACUUAGUGCUUUGAUAAUCCUUUAUCAAUGCUUCUUGAACUUAUACACCUUUGCCUUAGAUAGUUCAUAUGUGUGUCUAAACAAUUAAGACUAAUUGCCAAACCUCACAAUUCAAAUCAUGGAAAGGGAUACCGUAACCAUAAUCGAAUUCGAGAAUGCAAUUUUACAAUCACUAUCUUCUUAAAAUCUUUCUUAGUGAAAGCAUUUCCUCACAAUCAUUUUCAUGAAGGAGGAAAUCUUAUGACACUUAGAUUUAAACGGUGUAUGUGUUCCUAUCCAUGUGAAUUUGUUAAAACCAAAGUUUACGACAAAUUCAAACUCAUAUGGACCGAACUUUCUUAAUCUUGAUUUCUUGCCUUAUGGUAGCACAGCUGCCCACCAUGUCUUCCAAGUAGUUAAGCAGCUCACCCUUUCCUAUCAAUGUACCUUUCAUUGAUUAAGGUGCUUUGCCUUUUAUGCGUUUCAAAUGAGAACUCAUAGAACUCACAUGCAUAAUUAACUCGAUUGGAUUGGCACAGAAACAAAAUAAUGUCAACACGAUAGGUUGUAAACCUCAACUCGUGUGCUAGUGAUGAUCGAUAAGGUUAUUUUGAUUUGUUCUUGAAACCUUUCAAGACCAUUAAGACUCCCACUGACUCCUUGACAUAUAAGAUUCUCUUGUCAAUAAACAUUUCUUGACAAACAAAUAUUCAAGAGUUAGUGUAGUUUUUAUCAAAACACUUCAUAAAUUGGUCCUAGUUGGUCUUUGUCUUAUCCAAGACAUCACAACUUUCCACAUUUGAUGAAUGUUAUAAACCUUCUUAAUACUUAUCACUCAAUGUCACAAUCUUAACUCUAAGACUUGUUUUGGAACGAAGUAUG